AGAGAGGGGAGAACAUUUUUUUUCCCAAAUCAGAAAAAAAAAAAUCUUUGAAGAACGCUCAACCUUCGUAGGUGUUUUCGACUCUUCCAAAAUUUGCAGAGACGGAUCCAAUUCAUUAACAUAUUACAGCUUCACACGAGAAGAAACGGUGUGACGAGAGGGAGAUGGAAGAGCUGAAAGGCGAAACAACAACAUACAUGGGUUUUUUAUAGCAGCAGAAUGUUUUGCAGUGAGUCCGUGUGAAACAUGUCAUUAAGGUUUGUGCUUUAGGAGGUCUGAGGAGAUUGCAAGUAUAGCAGACUUCUGCGACAGGUAGUACAUCUCUUGGAAUUAGUUGAGUCUCUCACGUAGAGAUAUAUUUUUGAAGACUCAUUUGGAGAGGGAUGUGAUAAACCUGACUGGAAUUGUUAACUUGAUGUUCCAACAACUCACUGCUUUGUGUGAAGCUAGAGAAGUCACAGUACUUGAGGCUUGCCAAUCAGCUAAUCCAUCUCCCCAACCCAACACACAUACUUCUCCAUUCGCAUCUCCUAGCAACAACGAGGAGAUUUGCCACGAUUUAGCCAUGUAUUUUUUGUGAUUAUUUAAUCUCGUUGUCACGAUUUAAUCAUGUAUUUUUCGUGACUAUUUAUGAAACAGCCACAAAAUUUUGAGGUUAUUUAAACCCUAGCCCCUAAAUAGAUUUAAACCUCUAAACCCUAAAUGAAAUCUUGAAACUCUAGUUUUAACCCAAAUCAUAAUCACAAC